rnacentral:lncRNA from 1 species
AUUAAGUCACUAUUUGUUCGGAGGUGUCUCUAACUAUUUUCACUGGCCGAUCGUUCGUUAUUUACUCUGGCACGUCACCACAUCUCUAACCUUAUCCUUGCACUUCCUAGCAAUAAUACGAACUCAAUAUAUUUAAUCACAUACGUAUACGGGCAGCACUUCAAUCAAUUAAUCCUUACUCAAAUUUAUAUUUUUCAUCCUAUUAUGAAACCAUCUUCAAUUAACUUACCUCUUAAUACAUUUUUACUAAAAUUACUUAUAUCCAUUGCGUACGUAAUUCCUUAGAUUAUAUCACCAGUAACUUAUUUAUGAUGCCACGUGCCUACUUCAACCUUUCUAAAUAAUUUCUGCCUAAAUCCAUCUUAUAUUUCUACACAUAAUCCACAUAUAUGGCAGCAACAAUCAUUCUCACUUUCACUCGAUUAUUUCCUAAUUUACACGCAUCGUUAUCUAUCUAACUUUCAAUACUUUGUUUCUCAAUCCUCCAUCCACAAUAUUCCUUUUUCAUUUCUUUCAGACGACAUGCCAUACAAUCUUAACAAUUUUCAACUAGCUUAUGCAAAUAGAUCCUUUCAACAACCAUAAUUCCCCACAAUAUUCAACUAAUCGUAGGCUUUAAAACAUAGUGUUAAGCUUACCAUUUUCCUUUUCCACUUUGAGUCAUUCAUGUACCCAUGGGUUUAUUAGCUUACAUGUUAUCAAUUUUUCUCCAAUCAAGCCAAUCUUUACUACCACAAGAGAUUUCUCUAAGUCACUAACUCAUUUUCAAAGACUACUCAAGCCAAAAACAAGAAUUCUUACCGUUCCUUGCUUGAAUCACCAAAACCAAGCUUUUUCUUCCUUUCUCUCUUUUUCUUUCUUCUUCUCCUAGAGUUUAGAUGUGCUAGAAAUUGGGGUUAGAAGUUGUAACUUUGGUGCACAAGAAGUUGGGAGAAGAAUGAGGCAAGAAGAGAAAAGAAAUGAAAAGAAAACAAGGAAAGAAAAUGAAAGAAAAUUAGCUUUCCAUGGGAGAAUGAGAGAAUGGCAUUGGAA